AAAUGAAAUUCGGGAGAAGCCGGCAGGAAUGCCGGUGCCGAAGGAGCAGCCGCCCCGGCGAACUCUCAGGCAAAAGGACCGUUUUUCACAA
rnacentral:ncRNA from 1 species